rnacentral:rRNA from 1 species
UCCAUUGAUUGAUGGUGCUUGCACCUGAUUGAUUUUGGUCGCCAACGAGUGGCGGACAGGUGAGUAACACGUAGGUAACCUGCCCAGAAGCGGGGGACAACAUUUGGAAACAGAUGCUAAUACCGCAUAACAGCGUUGUUCGCAUGAACAACGCUUAAAAGAUGGCUUCUCGCUAUCACUUCUGGAUGGACCUGCGGUGCAUUAGCUUGUUGGUGGGGUAAUGGCCUACCAAGGCGAUGAUGCAUAGCCGAGUUGAGAGACUGAUCGGCCACAAUGGGACUGAGACACGGCCCAUACUCCUACGGGAGGCAGCAGUAGGGAAUCUUCCACAAUGGGCGCAAGCCUGAUGGAGCAACACCGCGUGAGUGAAGAAGGGUUUCGGCUCGUAAAGCUCUGUUGUUAAAGAAGAACACGUAUGAGAGUAACUGUUCAUACGUUGACGGUAUUUAACCAGAAAGUCACGGCUAACUACGUGCCAGCAGCCGCGGUAAUACGUAGGUGGCAAGCGUUAUCCGGAUUUAUUGGGCGUAAAGAGAGCGCAGGCGGUUUUCUAAGUCUGAUGUGAAAGCCUUCGGCUUAACCGGAGAAGUGCAUCGGAAACUGGAUAACUUGAGUGCAGAAGAGGGUAGUGGAACUCCAUGUGUAGCGGUGGAAUGCGUAGAUAUAUGGAAGAACACCAGUGGCGAAGGCGGCUACCUGGUCUGCAACUGACGCUGAGACUCGAAAGCAUGGGUAGCGAACAGGAUUAGAUACCCUGGUAGUCCAUGCCGUAAACGAUGAGUGCUAGGUGUUGGAGGGUUUCCGCCCUUCAGUGCCGGAGCUAACGCAUUAAGCACUCCG